rnacentral:rRNA from 1 species
CUCGUGUCGUGAGAUGUGGGUUAAGUCCCGUAACGAGCGCAACCCUUGUCCUUAGUUACCAGCACGUUAUGGUGGGCACUCUAAGGAGACUGCCGGUGACAACCGGAGGAAGGUGGGGAUGACGUCAAGUCAUCAUGGCCCUUACGGCCUGGGCUACACACGUGCUACAAUGGUCGGUACAAAGGGUUGCCAAGCCGCGAGGUGGAGCUAAUCCCAUAAAACCGAUCGUAGUCCGGAUCGCAGUCUGCAACUCGACUGCGUGAAGUCGGAAUCGCUAGUAAUCGUGAAUCAGAAUGUCACGGUGAAUACGUUCCCGGGCCUU